rnacentral:rRNA from 1 species
GUGCCAGCAGCCGCGGUAAGACGAACCGUGCGAACGUUAUUCGGAAUCACUGGGCUUAAAGCGCGUGUAGGCGGAUCGGCACGUCCGUGGCUGAAAGCCCCCGGCUCAACCGGGGAAGUGGCGCGGAUACGGCCGAUCUGGAGGGGGGUAGGGGGACCUGGAACUUCCGGUGGAGCGGUGAAAUGCGUUGAGAUCGGAAGGAACGCCCGUGGCGAAAGCGAGGUCCUGGACCCUUUCUGACGCUGAGACGCGAAAGCCAGGGGAGCGAACGGGAUUAGAUACCCCAGUAGUCC